GACGUAGGGGGCCAGCGUUGUUCGGAAUUACUGGGUGUAAAGGGUUCGUAGGCGGUGUGGCAAGUCGGGAGUGAAAUCUCUGGGCUCAACCCAGAGGCUGCUUCCGAAACUGCUGUGCUUGAGUGUGGGAGAGGCGCGUGGAAUUGCAGGUGUAGCGGUGAAAUGCGUAGAUAUCAAGAGGAACACCUGAGGUGAAGACGGGUUGCUGGGCUGACACUGACGCUGAGGCGCGAAAGCUAGGGGAGCAAACGGG
rnacentral:rRNA from 1 species